rnacentral:rRNA from 1 species
UCCGUAGGGGUCUGCCAAGUCCGAUGUGAAAGCCCACGGCUCAACUGUGGAACGGCAUUGGAUACUGGCGGGCUGGAGUCUGCGAGGGGUGAGCGGAAUUCCUGGUGUAGCGGUGGAAUGCGUAGAUAUCAGGAAGAACACCGAUGGCGAAGGCGGCUCACUGGCGCAGUACUGACCCUGAGGGACGAAAGCGUGGGUAGCAAACAG